rnacentral:rRNA from 1 species
GAUGAACGCUGGCGGCGUGCCUAAUACAUGCCAGUCGAGCGAACAGAUGAGGAGCUUGCUCCUCUGACGUUAGCGGCGGACGGGUGAGUAACACGUGGAUAACCUACCUAUAAGACUGGGAUAACUUCGGGAAACCGGAGCUAAUACCGGAUAAUAUAUUGAACCGCAUGGUUCAAUAGUGAAAGACGGUUUUGCUGUCACUUAUAGAUGGAUCCGCGCCGCAUUAGCUAGUUGGUAAGGUAACGGCUUACCAAGGCAACGAUGCGUAGCCGACCUGAGAGGGUGAUCCGGCACACUGGAACUGAGACACGGUCCAGACUCCUACGGGAGGCAGCAGUAGGGAAUCUUCCGCAAUGGGCGAAAGCCUGACGGAGCAACGCCGCGUGAGUGAUGAAGGUCUUCGGAUCGUAAAACUCUGUUAUUAGGGAAGAACAAAUGUGUAAGUAACUAUGCACGUCUUGACGGUACCUAAUCAGAAAGCCACGGCUAACUACGUG